UGGCGGCGUGCCUAAUACAUGCAAGUCGAACGGAGGUCAUUGAUUCGGUUGAUGACUUAGUGGCGGACGGGUGAGUAACGCGUGAGCAACCUGCCCUUGUGAGUGGAAUAACAACUGGAAACGGGUGCUAAUACCGCAUAACGUACCGGGUAAGCAUUUACCUGAUACCAAAGGAGAAAUCCGCACAAGGAUGGGCUCGCGUCCGAUUAGUCUGUUGGUGAGGUAACGGCUCACCAAAACUGCGAUCGGUAGCCGGACUGAGAGGUUGAACGGCCACAUUGGAACUGAGAGACGGUCCAGACUCCUACGGGAGGCAGCAGUAGGGAAUAUUGGGCAAUGGGCGAAAGCCUGAACCCCAGCAACGCCGCGUGAAGGAAGAAGGUCUUCGGAUUGUAAACUUUAGUAAGCAGGGAAGAAGAAGAUGACGGUACCUGCAGAGUAAGCCACGGCUAACUACGUGCCAGCAGCCGC
rnacentral:rRNA from 1 species